UCUCAUGAGAUGAAAUCUAGAAGAUACAUGUUAGAAUAAAUCAUUUUCGUUACUUGUAUAAAAAUUUUUGUUGCUCUAGCAUACAUGCUACCCUAAUUUUUUCUUCAAUUGAUAUCAGAGCAAAGGUUGCAUGAUCAUGUUCUUAGAUCUGAAAUUCAAAUUAGAUCUAAAUUAUUUUGCUUAUGAUUAGAUCUUUAUUUUAGAUUGGAUCUAAAAAUUUAUGUUUAUCAAUUGCAUAUAUGAAGGAACC
rnacentral:lncRNA from 1 species